ACCUGAUAUAUUAAAAACCUUAUUUGACCUGAUUCAAAAUCGUCAGUAAAUAUUCCAAACAAACGAAUUUUUGUAUAGCAUUAUGCAUCAUAGUCAUAACGUCUUCAAAUAAGUCAUUUGAAGUACUCAAUAUUGUCAUUUAAUCUAAAAUAAAAACAUCAGGUAAAUAUCAGGUCUUUCGUAUAUCCGGUUAUUAGUGUGUCCCAAAAAUCGGACACAUGUUUACAAACUGAAAUCAUGUGAAGUGCAGUGGAGCAUUUUCUUACCACACAAGCCACAAGCUGUAUGUAGACAUGCACGCACAUUUAAUCUGCAGCUACGAAGUACUUAAUCAAUCCUAUGGAGCAUUAUCCUUAGCAGAAUUAUCCGAUUUGUAGUUUGUGUGAAUUGUUUACGAGGAAAUUCCGUCUGUUACAUGAACAAGCCGUGACUGUGGUUCGUAGUUCCCAGUGAUAAAUGUAUCGAGUGAUGAAAGAGUCGACGGUGACAUUUUAAAGUCUGAUUGGCGUGAACCAUCGGAAUGCAGAUGACUGCAGGAAUGGUUUGUUUGAUUAUUGGCCUAUCAAACAUUUUCCAGUCAUUUGAUGAUGCCACCACUUAGGAUAGUAUUAAAGCCGCAAAUAUAGACUUGUACUCAGCACUUAUUGCCUUUGAGAAGUAAGGGAUCCUUUUGACACUGAAUCUCGGUUUAUACGGUCUCAUUGGAGUAACCUGUCUCAAGCAUUUAGCAAUGGGAUUGGAACCUGAGAUGUUUUAUGCAGUGAAUAAUCAAAGUACUCAGAAGUACUGAAAGCUGGGCUCAUUUACAGGGUAAUGAACAAAGACCGUGAUGACAGUUUAAAAACAAGUUCAGACAUUGUUAGCUUGACGAUGUGUUGCGUAAACUAGUGUUAGCGAGACAGCGUGUUGUGUGAAAUUGUGUAUAAAGUGUAAGUGUGACAGUAUGUUGUGUAAACUCGUGUUAGCUAGACAGAGUGUUGAUUGAACUCGUAUUAGCGAGACUUCGUGUUGUGUAAACUCGUGUUAGUGAGACUGGGUGUUGUGUAAACUCGUGUUAGCGAGACUGCGUGUUGUGUAAACUCAUGUUAGCAAGACAGCGUGUUGUGUGAACUCUUAUUAACGAGACAGCAUUUUGUGUGAAUUCGUGUUAGCAUGACAGUGUGUUGUGUGAACUUGUGUUAUCCUGAAAAUUUGUCGUGUGAAUUGGUGUUAGAGAGAUUGCAUAUUGUGUGACCUCGUGUUAGCGAGACUGCGUGUUAUGUAAACUCGUGUUAGCUAGACAGCGUGUUGUGUGAACUCGUGUUAGCGAUAUUGCAUGUUUUUUGAAUUUGUGUUAGAGUGACAGUGUGUUGUGUGAACUCGUGUUAGCCUGACAGUGUGUUGUGUGAAAUGGUAUUAGGAUGACAGUGUGUUGUGUGAAAUGGUAUUAGGAUGACAGUGUGUUAUCGCAACAGCGUUUGGAGCGAACUUGUGUUAGUGAAUAGUGAGACAGCCUGUUUUGUGAAUUCGUGUUAGCGUGACAGUGUGUUGUGUGAACUCGUGUUAGUCUGACAGUGUGUUGUGUGAAAUGGUAUUAGGAUGACAGUGUGUUGUGUGAAAUGGUAUUAGGAUGACAUUGUGUUAUCGCAACAGCGUUUGGUGCGAACUUGUGUUAGUGAAUAGUGAGACAGCCUGUUUUGUGACUUUGUGUUAGCGUGACAGUGUAUUGUGUAAACUCGUGUUAGCGUGACAGUGUAUUGUGUAAACUCGUGUUAGUGAGACUGCGUGUUGUGUAAACUCAUGUUAGCGUGAAAGUGUGUUGUGUGAAUUCAUCUAAGCGUGACAGUGUGUUGCGUGAACUUGUGUUAGCUAGACAGUGUGUUGUAUGAACUCGUAUUAGCCAGACUGUGUGUUGUGUAAAACUUGUGUUAGCGAGACAGCGUGUUGUGUGAACUUGUGUUAGCGAGACAGCGUGUUUGUGAAUUCGUGUUAGCAUGAUAGUGUGUUGUUUGAACUCGUGUUAGCCUGAUAUUUUGUUGUGUGAAAUUGUAUUAGCGUGACAGUGUGUUGUGUGUUAGUGUGACAGCGUGUGGUGCGAACUUGUGUUAGUGCGAAAUUGUUUUUCAGUGUUGUGAUGGCGAGCUGUGUGAUAGCCUAAUGGCGUCUUUUGUGUCGGCAA